AAUAUUGGUUUCAAUACGACCACCAAAGUUAAGCAAUGUUAAGCCUGUUCAGUACCUAGAUGGGUGACCGCUUGGGAAUACGAGGUGCUGUAAG